AGCAAUUUUCAAUCACAACCCGUUCAUCCUUUUUGCAUCACAAACUCGUUGGAUGGGAAUUCGUACAGUCUCACUGAACUCAACGCCGCCGGAGUUCUUCGUCGUCAGCCACAAACAAUCUGAAGUUCUAAUCAAAGGCAAGUGGAGAUCUAAACUGGAAAUUCUAAAUAAAAGAAAAGAACCAUAUUUUUAAGGAAUUACUUCCCUUUUGCUAUGGUGAUUCUCUUUUUCUUCAAGGUUCCAACUCGCCCCAUUCCUUGCUCUUUACCCUUUAUUUACACUCCAGUCUCGAUAUGGAGAUUUAAUCAAAUACAAGUGGAGAUCUAAAUCUAGAAAGCUUAAAUAAAAAAGCUACUAUAAACUAGUUACUUUUAGGAAUUACCACACUACUGGUGUGGUGUUUAUCUUCUUCUAUUAAGGGUAAAUUUUAAGUAAUAUUAGUUUCUAUUCCACCUUCAUUGUUGCUGCACUAUACUGGAACAAUAUCAGCUUGCUGUUGGUUUACAGAAACUUCCUCUAUACUUUCUUGAAAUUACUGCAACGCUUUGAGGUUCAAAGGCUCUCAUCAAUGUUGAAAACGAUGUUUCUCGAUUGGUACUUUAAGAUUGGGGUUGCGUCAGCUUUGGUUGGAGCUUCUAUGGAAUUUUUCAUGGUCAAAACAGGCUUCUGUAUGACAAAGUAACUGUUUUGGAGUCAGAAAAGCGCGCCUUGGAGAAUUCUCCAGAAGCUCAAGCAAUUAGAGAAGCUCUCAACCCUUGGAGACAUGUUGAUACAAAAGAAACAAACAAGCCCUGACGCGAGUAUGAACCAUUUUAUUAAAAUCCAUGAAUGAUUCGUCAAGAAUUUUACAGAGAAUACGCUGGAAGUUGAUUGCAUAUGGACUGCUUUUCUGUUAUACUUAUGAUUCAUGUGGUGGAAUUGAUGGAGCCCUUCCAUUGCGGCAUCUUGUUAACCAACCUGCAAUUCAUGGGCAAAUCUACCAUGUAUCACACACACAACCUUCUAUUUAUUUUUGCUACUAUAUGGCUUUGAAUCUUGGGGAAAUUUAAUUAUUUUGUUAGUAUGAUACAAGGUGAAUGUCGCAAUAUUCCCAAUAAAUAAAACAAUUCCAAACAGUUCUAAAAUUGUUUUGCCACCUGGCAUUUAUCUCUGUUAUGCAAGUAUUCUAACUGUACUCUAACAUAGCCACUCUUCUAUAAUUUCAUUUGGCUUUUAAUCUCGUGGUCCAUGGUUGUCAUCAUCAUCACCAUACACCAUAUAUUUUAUAACCUUCAUGACCAUGGCUGUCUUUGUAGAUUCCAGCUGAAACAUGGUUUACAUAUCACAUUACUUGGCAAUAGCAACAUGGUUGGAUAAAGAGUAGAAAAAAAAGAAAAAGAUGGCAAAUCAUUACCAUUUACUACUCCACCAGUAGUCACCUGGUAUCAACUGGGUGCUUCUCUCCAGAUUUGAGUUGGGAUCCCAAACGCUGAGAAGAAAAUAAAAUAAAAAUAGUAAUGUCUCUUCUGGGGAACAAAUAUUCUAAAGAUUCAGUCUAGGAGUAAAAGAAAGAGGAUUUGGAGCUCAUUCAUGCCUAAAAUACGAAGAUUGGGAACAAAAAUAUGUUUCCCCAAGGUCAGAGACUUGGCACGGCCCGUGCCACCAGCCACACGGCCGUGCCAACCUUCAGGAUCCACUUUUGCUGCUUUUUGCUUCCCAGACAAGUUAGCUAUUAGUUUAUUUCUGAUCUAAAAGCCCGUAGUUUCUUGUCGAACAUUCUAGUGUUAUUCUUGUGGAACAUUCUAGUGUUAUAUUUCUUAGGGCUUAAGUCAUUGUAGACUAUAAAUAGAGUAGCUAGCUAUCACAACGAUUCAUCUUUUGUUCUUGGAAUUAAAUAGUGACAAUUGUCUUCUUUAAUAAAAGUUCUUUCUUUUA